UGCGUAGGUGGCGCCGUAAGUCGGGUGUGAAAUUUCGGAGCUUAACUCCGAAACUGCAUUCGAUACUGCGGUGCUUGAGGACUGGAGAGGAGACUGGAAUUCACGGUGUAGCAGUGAAAUGCGUAGAGAUCAUGAGGAAGACCAGUGGCGAAGGCGGGUCUCUGGACAGUUCCUGACACUGAGGCACAAGGGCCAGGGGGAAGGCAAAACGG
rnacentral:rRNA from 1 species